UACGUAGGUGUCAAGCGUUGUCCGGAUUUAUUGGGCGUAAAGCGCCCGCAGGCGGCUUGCCAAGUUCGAUGUGAAAUCUCCCGGCUUAACUGGGAGGGUGCAUCGAAAACUGGCAGGCUUGAGGCAGGGAGAGGGAUGUGGAAUUCCAGGUGUAGCGGUGAAAUGCGUAGAUAUCUGGAGGAACACCGGUGGCGAAGGCGGCAUCCUGGACCAAUACUGACACUGAGGAGCGAAAGCCAGGGGAGCAAACGGG
rnacentral:rRNA from 1 species